AUGUUCACCUGGAGGAUGAGAGUUGUGCCAGAUUUGAAACUGAAUUUGAAGUCCAAAUUCCUGUGGUGGGGACCACAUUUCUUUGACCAGGCUCUUCCAUUUCUUUAUGUGAGCACAGCUCCCAGCAGGAAAUACUCAUUUCUCAAACUUUUCUUGAGACCAUUAAAUCAGUACUACAGACAGUCAGCAGUUGAAUGGACACAUCCUUUUUAUUGGCUCCCUGAUAAUCUGCACAGUGAAAUAUGGAAUUGUUCUGUACGGAGUUACCAGCUUUGGAAGCAAAAUAAGGUACCUUUCUUUCAAUAUUCUAAUUAAGUUACUCUAACCCCUCAAUCUGCCUGUGGAGGGAAGAUUUCUUCCAUCCCUGAGGUCUUCCUUCCCAAAAGAAGUCCCAAGACUGAGAGGGGUUUAUGCAAUCCAGUCAAUCUGUUUUGAUGAUCAUCUAUUUUAGAAAAGAAAAUAGAAUAACUUCCAUGGUCAGAGUUUCAGUCUGUUCGGGCUACUGUAACAAAAACACCAUAGAUUGUGUGGCGUAAACUCAUGGUUCUGGAGGCUGGGAAGUCCAAGAUCAAGGUCGUAUUUGGUGUCUGGUGAUUCAUAGAGGGACCUCUUCUCCCUGUGUUCUUACGUGGUGGGAG
ensembl:lncRNA